GGGGAAUAUUGGACAAUGGGGGGAACCCUGAUCCAGCCAUGCCGCGUGUGUGAAGAAGGCCUUUUGGUUGUAAAGCACUUUAAGCGAGGAGGAGGCUACUUAGAUUAAUACUCUGAGAUAGUGGACGUUACUCGCAGAAUAAGCACCGGCUAACUCUGUGCCAGCAGCCGCGGUAAUACAGAGGGUGCGAGCGUUAAUCGGAUUUACUGGGCGUAAAGCGUGCGUAGGCGGCUGAUUAAGUCGGAUGUGAAAUCCCUGAGCUUAACUUAGGAAUUGCAUUCGAUACUGGUCAGCUAGAGUAUGGGAGAGGAUGGUAGAAUUCCAGGUGUAGCGGUGAAAUGCGUAGAGAUCUGGAGGAAUACCGAUGGCGAAGGCAGCCAUCUGGCCUAAUACUGACGCUGAGGUACGAAAGCAUGGGGAGCAAAC
rnacentral:rRNA from 1 species